rnacentral:rRNA from 1 species
AUACAGAGGGUGCGAGCGUUAAUCGGAAUUACUGGGCGUAAAGCGCGCGUAGGCGGCUUAUUAAGUCAGAUGUGAAAUCCCAGGGCUCAACCUUGGAACUGCAUCUGAUACUGGUAAGCUAGAGUUUAGGAGAGGGAAGUAGAAUUUCAGGUGUAGCGGUGAAAUGCAUAGAGAUCUGAAGGAAUACCAGUGGCGAAGGCGACUUCCUGGCCUAAAACUGACGCUGAGGUGCGAAAGCGUGGGUAGCAAACGGGAUUAGAUACCCUAGUAGUCC